ensembl:piRNA 21ur-9415 ncRNA
UUGAAAUUCACAAAGCUGGAA